GCAAGUCGAACGGAGCUGUUUUGAUGAAGUUUUCGGAUGGAUUUAAAACAGCUUAGUGGCGGACGGGUGAGUAACGCGUGGGUAACCUGCCUCACACUGGGGGAUAACAGUUAGAAAUAGCUGCUAAUACCGCAUAAGCGCACGGUUCCGCAUGGAACAGUGUGAAAAACUCCGGUGGUGUGAGAUGGACCCGCGUCUGAUUAGCCAGUUGGCGGGGUAACGGCCCACCAAAGCGACGAUCAGUAGCCGGCCUGAGAGGGUGAACGGCCACAUUGGGACUGAGACACGGCCCAAACUCCUACGGGAGGCAGCAGUGGGGAAUAUUGCACAAUGGGGGAAACCCUGAUGCAGCGACGCCGCGUGAGUGAAGAAGUAUUUCGGUAUGUAAAGCUCUAUCAGCAGGGAAGAAAGUGACGGUACCUGAAUAAGAAGCCCCGGCUAACUACGUGCCAGCAGCCGCGGUAAUACGUAGGGGGCAAGCGUUAUCCGGAUUUACUGGGUGUAAAGGGAGCGUAGACGG
rnacentral:rRNA from 1 species